AUUUCCUAAGUACAGGGAGGAAGUAAACUAAGGCAAAAAUUACACAAAAUUGUGUUUAUAUAUCUUGUUUAUUUCACCAAAAUUCAAAUCAACUCAACAUAGCUCUUUCUCUUCACAGAGCAUCUUUGGCUCUUUCUGGCCUCACCCAGUGUCUCAUUUCCUGAAGCCAUGCAGAUGCACAUAGCUCCAAACUAAUGCAUACUCAUUUAUUUCCCCUUUGCUUUUAAACUUGCAUUUUUACUUCAUUAUUCAGCUAACCAAAUGAAGGCUCCUUUUUGAAAUUUUUUAAAAAGUGUGUGCGUGUGUGUGUGUGUUUCAUAACAUUUUUUUUCACAGUUAAAAAAAAUUCGGGAUCCAAGAGGACCUUAGAAUCAACAAAAAUUAACAAUUAUUGUUAAUUAUUAUUAUUAUUAUGUUCUGAGACAGGGUCUUACUCUGUCACUCAAAGUGAAGUGAGGUGCCACAAUCAUAGCUCACUGGAGCCUCAGCCUCCUGUGUCCAUGCGAUCAUUCCAUAUAAGCCUCCUGAGCAGCUGGGACCACAGGAGCAGUAAAGGAAGAAUGAAUGUGGCAAAUCACACACUGCUCUACAGCCACCGUCUGAGAAAAGCUAAAAGGGAGAAAGAGUAAAUGGUCACCAUGAGCAACAGGAAAGCAAGGAAAGCAAACUGGGGCUCUGGCUCCUCUUUCAGAAACCAAAAGGAAUGCAGAGACUGAUUAAGCCUGAAGCAUGGUCUUGAGAAUUAACAAUAUGAAAGCUUGCACCAGUUCCUUGUUAAAGUGUAAAGCUCAUUCUUUCUAGAAUAUGCACCAACUGACACAGGAUUACCACACAAGCAAGGGUAUUUAGAUCCAGAAGUUAUGGCUGGAGAAAAAAACAUCAUUAAAAAGUCUCAAAUUUUGUUGGUUGUUUUUAUAUAAUGCAUGCUCAUCAAAAAUCAAAUUCAUGGGUAUUAUUAAAUGAUCUUAAUUAUGAGUAUAUUUUUUAAACUAGGCUUAGGAUGCUUGUGAUAUGUUAAUGUCUUUUUCUUGAGUUUGUAAAUAAAUAGAUAUCAUCAAACA
rnacentral:lncRNA from 13 species